ACAAGACGCGGGGAACUUCUGCGCAGUCAAAAGUUGUUUUGCUUCCACUAGAAUAUUCCUCUGACAUGUCGCUCGUGUCAAUACACGGCACGCGCAGGCAGCUCGACAGAGUCAAGCGCUAGUGUCCCAUCCAUCCAUGAAACGGCAUCAAACAAGGUUCAAGGAGUAAAGAUAAUGGCCAAUGACUUAAUGGCUUCCACUGACAUCUCACAGCUACAUGCCAUGACAAAAUAACUUGAAGGAAGAAGACGAAAAACAAACAAAGAAAAAAAUAGGCCCUUUUCAGGACCACCCAAAUGCUUGUGACAACAACAACUUUAUUGUGAGAUGACGAAUGAUGCUGACGCAGCGUUGAGAUUAAGCCCUUGUUUCCUUUUUUGCAAUGCUAUGCAUUACUGCUGGUUCCCAAAUAGUCGAAACGGUUGUGAUAUUCUGAAAGCCCACAUCCACCUCUCCCCAAAAUGCACCUUCAUUCUCUCAGUCCGGUACAGUACCAUGUCAAAAAAAAAUAAAAAAAAAAUAGAUAAUUCAUUCCGAAACACACAUGGGUGCAGCCAUUUUUAUGACGUAGAUGCACCCGAACGGGCAUUGUGACGUGUACGCGCCUUCGUACUAAUGAG